GUAAAGGCCUGUUGGACACUUUGUGAAGUUCAGUUCAGAUCAUAGAUCAUCAUCUCCUGGAGCUGAAGCUGCAGACAUGAGUGUCUGUCCUCAUUCUUUCCUCCUGGGUCUGCUGAUCAUCCUCUACCUUCAGUCCUGUGUGAUGGGAAGAAGCUGUUCAGAUCACUGAAGAUCAUCUCCUGGAACUGAAGCUGCAGUCAUGAGCAUCUGUCCUCGUUCUCUCCUCCUGGUUCUGCUAAUCAUCCUCUAUCCUCAGUCCUGUGCAGUGGGACAAAAUUUGUUUGCACCAGAAUGCUGUAUCAGGACCACUACAUUUAAAAUCCCACUAAGACACAUUACAGACUACAAAAUAACAGACACUCGCUGUCCAAAAUCUGCAGUCAUCUUUACCACUCGGAGCAGUGAUUUCUGUGUAGAUCCCGACCUUGAGUGGGUUCAACGCGCCAUGAGAACAAUUGUACUUCGCAGGCAUAAAAAUGAGGCCCAAACCCAACCUGCACUUAAGACCUUGAGGUCCAAAUCAACAACAGAUCUGCAUGAACAUCAUGAAACUGAAGCCCAAACCUGGCCAGUAAGAGAGACUUUGAGAUCUGAUCCAGCUACAGAUCCACCUGAAGAUGAAAGUGAAGCCCAAACCCAACCUGCACCCAAAAAUUUGAAUCCUGACCCAGCUGAGCUCAUCUUGUUCUGCCAAAUCUGAAGCUUAAACCCCAAAUCUCCUUAGUUUCUUUCCCUCUUGGAACACAAACACAGGGACACCAGUGACACAGUUGGACAUAUAUGCAGUUUUUUCAUUUUGCUGUUGUCGGACGAAAAUCUUGUAUCUCCAAAUUGGUAACUUUACAGGAGAAGGAAUAAACCUACUUUACUUUUAAUGUAAGUCAAUGUAACCAGACAUUAUUCCAAGUCAUUUUGGGUCAUUUCUGCUGGUCUGUUCAUCAUGAAAUUUACACACAAUGUAAAGGACAACAGGUAUUUUCAAAUUUGGUCAUAAACUGAAAAACAACAAAAAUGGAGAUACAAGGUUUCUUCUGACAACAGCGACAUACUGCCAGAUUUUUUGUGUAUGCCAACUUAUAUUUUUAUGUUCCAAUAUUAAAUUCCACCACACAAGUCGGGGAGAAAGGUUUGACUGGCUAAUUCCAUAUAGACAAAAAACUUCACAGGAGAAGGAAAAACACAUCCUUAACUUUCAAUGGAAGCUAACGUGACAAAUUUUCCAAGUACUUUUGGAGCAUUUCUAUUGGUCAGUUCAUCAUUAUGUUUUAACAUUGUAGGCCAGCUGGAGUUUUCAAAUGAAAAAUACAAAUAUACAAGUAUUGUAUUGUACUGUAAAUACAAGUUCAUUAAUAGUUGUAUUUUUGUAGCAGGGCUGAGACUCAUGACAGUGUUUAGGGGUAGUUUGGUUUUGUUUAGUAUGAAGUAGACUUCUGGCUUUAUACAUUAAAAAUGUGAGUUUUAUUUUAUUAUUUUAUUAUUAUUUUCCAUUUGCCACAUAAAAUGAAACAGACUGAGAACAGUAGCCCACAGGUCCAUCUCAUAGACUCAUACUGGGCAAUAUCAUGUGAAACAUCUAAACAGCUCACCGAGCUUUGAAUUCCCAAAUUUGUAGUUUAAUUAAAUUUUACCUUGCAGGAUGGCAUAGGAAUGUGAAGCUGAGGAGGCACAAUAGUCCAAUAUUUAAUACCUUUUAUUCUAAAUCAUACAUGCAUACAAUACCCAGUUAACUCCACCCAAACAUUUAAUGAUAUUUUCAAAUGGACAUACAGCUCAUAUAAAGUUCAAACAGCUAUACGUCACCUACAUGUGUGUGUUUCUGUUUGCCUUGUGUUAGAUUAAAGUCUUUCUUCUGAAA